CCCUUAGAUGUUCUGGGCUGCACGCGCGCUACACUGAAGCGUUCAACGAGUAUUCACCUUGCCCGGGAGGGUUGGGUAAUCUUUUGAAAACGCUUCGUGAUGGGGAUAGAUUAUUGCAAUUAUUAAUCUUCAACGAGGAAUGCCUAGUAAGCGCAAGUCAUCAGCUUGCGUUGAUUACGUCCCUGCCCUUUGUACACACCGCCCGUCGCUCCUACCGAUUGAAUGGUCCGGUGAAGCGUUCGGACCGUGGCCUUUGGACGGUUCGCCGUCUGUUGGCUGCGGGAAGUUCGUUAAACCUUAUCAUUUAGAGGAAGGAGAAGUCGUANCA
rnacentral:rRNA from 1 species